rnacentral:rRNA from 1 species
UACGGAGGGUGCAAGCGUUAAUCGGAAUCACUGGGCGUAAAGCGCACGUAGGUGGUUUGCUAAGUCAGCUGUGAAAUCCCCGGGCUCAACCUGGGCACUGCAGUUGAAACUGGCAAGCUAGAGUAGGGUAGAGGGGUGUGGAAUUCCAGGUGUAGCGGUGAAAUGCGUAGAUAUCUGGAGGAACAUCAGUGGCGAAGGCGACACCCUGGACUCAUACUGACACUGAGGUGCGAAAGCGUGGGGAGCAAACAGG